UCUGUUUCGGCGGUGGCACCUGAAGUUUCGGUUACGGUGGAAAGGUCACUAGAAGAGGGCUGAGGGGACAUUGGUGAAUGCCCUGGACUUGCAAUUAAUCCUGGAAGAGCUGGAAUGAUGGAAUUGUCAGAUUCUGAUAGGUCACUGACACUGAGAUCAUCACAUUUUGGUACUGUCACAUAGAGUUGUUGAUUAUUGGAAUCUUGCUUUUGUUUGAUCUUCUUCUUCAGGUGGGUGUGCCACACAUUCUUAAUCUCGUUGUCUGUCCUUCCUGGUAGUUUCGCUGCAAUUGCCGACCACCUAUUUCCCAGCAUUUCAUGUAACUUGAUAAUGGUUUUCUCUUCUUCCUCGGUGAAGUUUCCUCGCUUAAUGUCUGGCCUCAAAUAGUUUAUCCAUCGGAGUCUGCAACUCUUCCCGCAUCUUAAUAAACCAGCUUCCUUAGGCAGUGCACGCCAAUUGCUAUGGCCAUAUUUUUGAAUAUGGGAAAUCAAAAUCUUAUCUUCUUCAGGUGUCCAAGGCCCUUUCUUUAAUCCCAUCUUCUCACAGCAAGGAGCCCUCACCAUCUCUCUUGGUUCUUUAUCUUGUAAACUCUCGCACUCUUUCUUU
rnacentral:misc_RNA from 1 species